rnacentral:rRNA from 1 species
UACAGAGGCCCCGAGCGUUAUCCGGAAUUACUGGGCGUAAAGCGCAAGUAGUCGGUCUUUAUAGUCUGAUGUUAAAUCUCAUGGCUUAACCGUGAGACCGCAUUAGAAACGUAAAAACUAGAGCGAGUUAGAGGCAAGCGGAACGUGUGGUGUAGCGGUGAAAUGCGUUGAUAUCACACGGAACACCGAAAGCGAAGGCAGCUUGCUGGGACUCUGCUGACGAUCAGUUGCGAAAGCGUGGGGAUCAAAAAGG